rnacentral:rRNA from 1 species
AAUAUUGCGCAAUGGGGGGAACCCUGACGCAGCAACGCCGCGUGAGCGAGGAAGGCCUUCGGGUCGUAAAGCUCUGUCUAGAGGGAUGAAGGAUGACAGUACCUCUGGAGGAAGCCCCGGCUAACUACGUGCCAGCAGCCGCGGUAACACGUAGGGGGCGAGCGUUGUCCGGAAUUACUGGGCGUAAAGGGCGCGUAGGCGGUAGGUUAAGUCGGAUGUGAAAGUCCAUGGCUCAACCAUGGAAUUGCAUAUGGAACUGAUCUACUUGAGUUCAGGAGAGGAGAGCGGAAUUCCUAGUGUAGCGGUGAAAUGCGUAGAGAUUAGGAAGAACACCAGUGGCGAAGGCGGCUCUCUGGACUGUAACUGACGCUGAGGCGCGAAAGCGUGGGUAGCGAAC